AGAACCUGGAUUUGAUUCUCAGCACCCACGUGGUAAUUCCCAACUGUCUCUAAUCCCACCGUUCUAGAGGAUCUGAUGGCCUCUUCUGACCUCUGAAGGCAACAUGCAUGCAUGUGGUGUGUGUCUGGGACACACACAUACACAAUCACACAAGCAUAUACACAGCCACACAUGUACACAUGUAUAUACAGUCACACAGUCUCUCUGUCUCUCUCUGUCUGUCUGUCUGUCUGUCUCUCUCUCUUUCUCUUUCUCUUUCUCUCUCUCUCUCUCUCACACACACACACACACACACACUGAGUUCAAGGCUCAGUUUGCGUAUCCCUAACAUAGGAUCACUAACACUUGCCCUAUUUGCCCAGUACAAGUGAAACAUAUAGAUGCUUUGCUUCUAAACUACACGUACCACACGUCAGCUCCCGGACGGAAAGUGUCUG
rnacentral:lncRNA from 1 species